UUGUAGGGACCUCGGUCCUUCCAAGAUGCAACCCUUGCCUUUUUCUAGCGUCUCUCCGUUUCCUCGGCAGGACCCCCGAAAACCUUUUUGCAAUCCCCGUACAAACUUCUGAAGAUACACAAAAACGUUA
rnacentral:misc_RNA from 1 species